rnacentral:tRNA from 1 species
GGACAAGUAAGCUAAAACUAAGCUAAUGGAUUCAUACCCCAUAAAUAGAUUAUUUCUCUUUUCUA